UGCCCUUCCGGCGCGGCACCCAUGUGCUGGAUGAAAUCCGGCUGGAGUUCUUUGGCGACGACACCGCGCUGUUCGAAGCCUUCAAGGGCGGC
rnacentral:tRNA from 1 species